rnacentral:rRNA from 1 species
UACGUAGGGGGCAAGCGUUGUCCGGAAUCAUUGGGCGUAAAGCGCGUGUAGGCGGCUCGGUAAGUCCGCUCUGAAAGUCCAGGGCUCAACCCUGGGAUGCGGGUGGAUACUGCCGGGCUCGAGUCCGGAAGAGGCGAGUGGAAUUCCUGGUGUAGCGGUGAAAUGCGCAGAUAUCAGGAAGAACACCCGUGGCGAAGGCGGCUCUCUGGGACGGUACUGACGCUGAGACGCGAAAGCUAGGGGAGCAAACAGG